GAUGAAGAACGUAGUGAAAUGCGAUACGUAAUGUGAAUUGCAGAAUUCAGUGAAUCAUCGAAUCUUUGAACGCACAUUGCGCCCGCCAGUAUUCUGGCGGGCAUGCCUGUUCGAGCGUCAUUACAACCCUCAGGCCCCCGGGCCUGGCGUUGGGGAUCGGCGGAGCCCCCCGUGGGCACACGCCGUCCCCCAAAUGCAGUGGCGGUCCCGCCGCAGCUUCCAUCGCGUAGUAGCUAACACCUCGCGACUGGAGAGCGGCGCGGCCACGCCGUAAAACACCCAACUCUUCUGAAGUUGACCUCGAAUCAGGUAGGAAUACCCGCUGAACUUAAGCAUAUCAAUAAGCGGAGG
rnacentral:misc_RNA from 1 species